CAAGUCGAACGCGAAAGUCCCCUUCGGGGGAUAAGUAGAGUGGCGUCCGGGUGAGUAACACGUAGGUAAUCUACCUUCAGGUGGGGAAUAACCCAGGGAAACUUGGGCUAAUACCGCAUAAUGCAGCGGCACCACAUGGUGACAGUUGUUAAAGCGGGGGAUCUUCGGAUCUCGCGCCUGAAGAGGAGCCUGCGGCAGAUUAGCUAGUUGGUAAGGUAACGGCUUACCAAGGCGACGAUCUGUAGCCGGCCUGAGAGGGCGGUCGGCCACACUGACACUGACAUACGGGUCAGACUCCUACGGGAGGCAGCAGUCGGGAAUUUUGGGCAAUGGGCGAAAGCCUGACCCAGCAACGCCGCGUGAAGGAUGAAAUCCCUCGGGAUGUAAACUUCGCAAGAAUGGGAAGAAUUAGUAGGGGUUAAUACCCUCUAUGAUGACGGUACCAUUUGUAAGCUCCGGCUAACUCCGUGCCAGCAGCCGCGGUAAUACGGGGGGAGCAAGCGUUGUUCGGAUUUACUGGGCGUAAAGGGCGCGUAGGCGGUCAGCACAAGUCAGUUGUGAAAUCUCCGGGCUUAACUCGGAAAGGUCAACUGAUACUGUGCGACUAGAGUGCAGAAGGGGCAACUGGAAUUCUCGGUGUAGCGGUGAAAUGCGUAGAUAUCGAGAGGAACACCUGCGGCGAAGGCGGGUUGCUGGGCUGACACUGACGCUGAUGCGCGAAAGCCAGGGGAGCGAACGGGAUUAGAUACCCCGGUAGUCCUGGCCUUAAACGAUGGAUGCUUGGUGUCUGGAGUUUUAUAGUCUCCGGGUGCCGUAGCUAACGCGUUAAGCAUCCCGCCUGGGGAGUACGGUCGCAAGACUGAAACUCAAAGGAAUUGACGGGGACCCGCACAAGCGGUGGAGCAUGUGGUUCAAUUC
rnacentral:rRNA from 1 species